UACGUAGGCGUAAAAUUAAGUCAGUAGUGAAAUCCUGCAGCUUAACUGUAGAACUGUUAUUGAUACUGGUUUUCUUGAAUAUAGUUGAGGUAGGCGGAAUGUGUAAUGUAGCGGUGAAAUGCUUAGAUAUUACACAGAACACCGAUUGCGAAGGCAGCUUACUAAGCUAUGAUUGACGCUGAGGUACGAAAGCGUGGGGAGCGAACAGGAUUAGAUACCCUGGUAGUCC
rnacentral:rRNA from 1 species